GACCUAAUGGCGAAACAGUAUCGCGUCCACACUUCAUAAAUAACCAUGGUCCAUGUUUCGUGGAAGCCCCCGGUUCGAGUCCGGGUUAGGUCG